AUUAAUUUAGUCCAUUGGUCCAAAUCGGGACAGUGAAAAUUUAUAAUAUAAUUGAGAUUAUUAAUUUAUCGAGUUUUAAUUUAUAGAGGUUCUACUAUACUUUCACAUAGAUUCACAAGAAUAAAGUAAUUGUUAGCAAUGUCAUAGAAGGUAAAAUUAAAAUUGUAUCUUUAUAUACACUAAUCAUACUUUUUCAAUUAUGUAUUUGAAAUAUAAGUCACUAAAACUAACAUUCGAGACAACAGCAACAGCUUUUAUUUUUUUAUUCGUUGCUUCUUGAUCUUUUAAAGGCUUGGUAAGCCAUCAACCACUUCAUUAGUCCAUGAAAUAUCAAUGCUUACUUGAACUCUUUACAUGCCAUUGAGCACUAAUAAUUAAAUACAUCAAGAGUCAUUUUCAUCAUCACACCAACGUCCGCACAAAAACACAUGAUAUUUGUGAAUUAAUUAAACAAAUUUCAGUGUCAAACAAUUACUGCAGACCUAAAAUCGUUGUAACUUUUAAAACUAAUCAUUAUUAGUUAGCAAUUUAAUCAAUUGCAAAGAGAAUUAGUUAAAUGCUUAAUAAAUUUUUUAUUUUGAAAAAUGUUGUGAAUUUAAAAUUGGUUAAAUGUGUUAGUAAAUGUUACUGUUAA
rnacentral:lncRNA from 1 species